rnacentral:rRNA from 1 species
ACUCAAAUGAAUUGACGGGGACCCGCACAAGCGGUGGAGCAUGUGGUUUAAUUCGAUACAACGCGCAGAACCUUACCAAGGUUUGACAUGGAGGGCAAAGUUGAAGAAACUCAACGGAGGUUAUCCCGACACAGGUGGUGCAUGGUCGUCGUCAGUUCGUGCUGUGAAGCGUACGCUUAAGUGCUAGAACGAACGCAACCCUCAUAUUUAGUUGCUAUCAUUUAGUUGAGAACUCUAAAUAGACUGCUAAGAUAACUUAGAGGAAGGAGAGGAUGACGUCUGAUCAUCAUGCCCCUUAUACCUUGGGCUACACACGUGCUACAAUGGUUAGGACAAAGGGUCGCCAACCCGCAAGGGGGAGCCAAUCCCAAAAAACUAACCUUAGUUCGGAUUGGAGUCUGCAACUCGACUCCAUGAAGUCGGAAUCGCUAGUAAUCGUGAAUCAGCAAUGUCACGGUGAAUAUGUUCUCGGGUCUUGCACACACCGCCCGU